CAGUAGCCGCGGGAAUACGUAGGGUGCAAGCGUUAAUCGGAAUUACUGGGCGUAAAGCGUGCGCAGGCGGUUAUAUAAGACAGAUGUGAAAUCCCCGGGCUCAACCUGGGAAAUGCAUUUGUGACUGUAUAGCUAGAGUACGGCAGAGGGGGAUGGAAUUCCGCGUGUAGCAGUGAAAUGCGUAGAUAUGCGGAGGAACACCGAUGGCGAAGGCAAUCCCCUGGGCCUGUACUGACGCUCAUGCACGAAAGCGUGGGGAGCAAACAGGAUUAGAUACCCCCGUAGUCCCUGUCUCUUAUAC
rnacentral:rRNA from 1 species